rnacentral:tmRNA from 1 species
GGGGCUGACCGGAUUCGACAGCUUGCCAUGAUGACACUGUAAGCAUGCCGAGCCUUGGGUAGGAUCUCGUUAAUCAGAAUGCCCACGCCUUAAUCGGCAACCAAUCUUACGCACUUGCUGCCUAACCCCUGAGGUUAGGUAACCAAGGUUCAGCCUACUCCUAGGGGGUACUGCUGAGGCGCUUCUACCACUGGGUGUUUGCUGGCGGUGGUUUUCUGAAGCGUGCCACGCACCAGUAAAAUAGCAGCGGGCUUUCGGCGGUCCCAAAGCGACAUCUUUACGCUGAUACGGGCAGUUCCGGCAAGUCACCGGCCUCGACUACCCCGACAAUCAACGGUCGACUAAGCAUGUAGAAAGCUGUGGAUCAGCUUGACUGGACCAGGGUUCGACUCCCUGCAGCUCCACCG